CCCUAUGGGGUGCCGAUGGUGUAAACCUCGUUCCAAUAGUUCGCGUUGUUGGUGCCGUUCGGAUCGAGCACGUUGCUCGGGUUCGUAUGGCUCCGCAUGGGAUAAUCCCAGUAUCCCGCGCCGCCCGGCUUCGCCGGGUCAUAGUACGCCGCCUUGUACCACUCGUCCUCCGUGGGGAUCGCCCACGUCGCGUUCGCCUUCCGCGUGACGGCCAUCAAGGCCACGUUGCUCGUCGGGCCGUUCAGGUAGUACGAGCCAUCCUCUGUCGUCGCCAAGCCCUGCGGCCCUGUCGGCUGACCGUUGUACAGCCAGUUCGCAAACCGCGCCGCGUCGCCCCACGACACACGGUUCACCGGCCGGUUGGCCCAGUCAUUGGCCACACGAUAGUGGUACGGGUUGCCGGGAGGGC
rnacentral:rRNA from 1 species